GCCGCAGGGACUUGGGGACUGAGCCGACAGGAGGCCCUUCCUUGGUCGGCUGGUUUGGGGGGUCCUCUCUCUGGCUGGCAGGGGCAGGGGGCUGGGAUUUGAGCACCGUGGGUGCUGGCGAAGCUUGUCACGCGUAACCAAGAAAGAGGGAGGCCAGCUGUGGGGACAGCAGCCUGGACUUUGGGGCUGAAGUGUGUGGGUUCAAAGCCCCUCUCCGCCACCUAGCUUUGCGCCUCAGUUUCCACAUCUGCCAAACGGGAUUGCCACCACAUUAAGUGAAACACGGUUACCCCAAAGGGCUUAGGGCAACGUCUGGAACUCAGCCAGGGCCCUGCAAGGAUUAGCUGCUGUUGUUACCAGCAUGUGUGACCCGGCUAUGAAAUCACAGCUCCAGGGUAGCCGACCCACCCAGGCUGCCGGACUGGAGACGCUGGACUUCAGGGCUAAGCCCAGGAAAGUCCCGGCAGACUGGGACAAGUUAGUCACCUCCCAGAGCCUUAUCAUUGGAUGGAACCCUUCCCUUUGCGGCAGCAGAAAGUGCCAACGAGGAAAUAAAUAUGGAUUAGGCAUUUGUUUGUUCACUAAGUAAUUAUUAACUUCUGUUCCGUGCCAGGCACUGUUCAAGUUUCUGGGAACACGGGAAAGAAUAAAACGAUGUCUCUGCUGCCCUCGUGGAGCCGACAUUCCAGUGGACAAGAGAGAUUGCGCACAAACAAAUGUUAUAACACCAGGUGGUGAUGGCUGCUGACAGGCAGAACAUGGUGAAGGAAGACGGCAUGAUGGGUACUAACGAAAACGAGGAGGUUGAAAAAAGACCCUUUAGGGAGAGGCCAUUUGAGUAGAAGAAUAACGUCCGAGAGCAAGCCGUGAGACUCUCUGGGGGAUGAGGAUUCCGGGCAAAGGCACGGCAAGUGCAAAGGCCCUGAGGUGCGAAUAUGCAACCUCUGAAAUGCUUUAAGAAGACAACACUCUGGGGCGCCUGGGUGGCUCAGUUGGUUAAGCAUCCG